UCCGUAGGCGGGUAAUUAAGUCAGAGGUGAAAUCCCACAGCUUAACUGUGGAACUGCCUUAGAUACUGGUUGUCUUGAGUUACAGUGAAGUAGAUAGAAUAUGUAGUGUAGCGGUGAAAUGCAUAGAUAUUAUAUAGAAUACCGAUUGCGAAGGCAGUCUACUAACUGUAUACUGACGCUAAUGGACGAAAGCGUGGGGAGCGAACAGGAUUAGAUACCCUGGUAGUCC
rnacentral:rRNA from 1 species